AUAAAUUUUUUAUGGUUUAAUAAUUUAUUAUAAAUUUAUUUUACAUAUAAAUUUUAGUAUAUAUUUUUAAUUAUUUUAAUAAUAUUUAAAUUAAAUUAUAUAGUAAUUAAUAUUAAAAAUUUAAGAAAUUAAGAUUUAGUAAUAUUUAAAUUAAUAACAAAUUUUGUGCCAGCAGUUGCGGUUAAACAAAAGUUAAAUUAAAUUUUAUUAGUAAUUAAUAAAUAAUAAAUAAUGUUUAAAUAAAUAUAAAAUUAUUAGGUGAAAUUUUUAUUUUAUAUAAUUUAAUUUUUUUUAUGAUUUAAUAAAUUUUAUUUAUAAACUAGGAUUAGAUACCCUAUUAUUAAAAAUUUAAAUUAAAAAUACUAAAAUAGUAUAUAAUUAUUUAUUGAAACUUAAAUAAUUUGGCGGUAUUUUAGUUCAUUUAGAGGAAUCUGUUUAUUAAUUGAUAAUCCACGAAUAAAUUUACUUAAUUUAUAAUUUUGUAUAUCGUUGUUAAAAAAAUAUUUUUAAAUAAUAAUAAUAUUUAAAAAUUAUAAUAAAAAAUUAAAUCAGAUCAAGAUGCAGAUUAUAAUUAAGAAUAUAAUGGAUUACAAUAAAUUUAUUUAAAUGAAUAUUAAUUUGUAAUAAUUAAUUGAAGGUGGAUUUAAAUGUAAUUUUAUUUAAUUUAAUAAAAUGAUUUAAAAUUAAAAUAUGUACAUAUUGCCCGUCGCUUUCAUAAAUAAAUUGGAAUAAGUCGUAACAAAGUAGAGAUACUGGAAAGUGUUUCUAGAAAUA
rnacentral:ncRNA from 1 species